AGGACCUGAGAAAGCUUAGCCCUCAGAAGUGCUUAUAGUGAGACCACACAAUGACAUGCAACAUCACUCAGACUCACCCGAGGCACUGGCCCAAGCAUUCCACCAGGCUCCACCCAAACCCACCAGCUGGACGAGGAACCACGGGACGUUAGAAUCAGAGUAACUUUGGCCAACAAUCUGAGACACUUGGGAGAAAAUUCAUUCUAAAUCUAACAGCUUCCUGCUCUCAGGAAGGCCUCUGGGCUUCCGGUGCCUCUGGUCCUCCUUCCCGGCUCUUCUGUGGAGGCUAGCUUCCUCCAAGCUGACCCCGAGGGAGCCGCCUUCUCGUAGGUGGAAAGCGAAGAGAAGAGAGCGGGUAAGCAGUGGAGACACAUUGGCUGUACUCAGGACCUGUACCAGAGGUGGCAGGAGGACACCACCGAGCCCUGCUCCACCCAUCGCAGCCUCGAGACCCUCUGCGCGGGGAUGCUGACCCCUGCUGGCCACCUGAGAGAUUGCAGCGUGGCCGACUCCCAAGGGGCGGCAAGUGUAAGGAACAGAAGGCAAGCCAUCUUGCAGGAGGACCUGAGGAGAGAAGGAGAGAGUCAGGAGAGAACAGAUUCCCUCUACAGUGCCCAGAGUCUCCCCUGACUGAUUUGGACCCAAUGAAAUUCCAAACUCUGGUGUCAAGAACUUUAAAAG
rnacentral:lncRNA from 1 species